AAAAGGGAAAACCACCUGGGCUCAUGAAAGCUGUCCUGCUUCCUAACUUGAUCCUACAAAAACCAGGAAAAAUAUGUUCAUUGCUGAAACAGUAGCACAACUAUAUCAGCAAAAGAAACAAAACUCAGUUCUGCUUCUGGUGACCUUAAACAUCUACAUUAUUCUAAAGGAAAUCUCCAAAGGAGUAUUUAAAACAGCAGCAUCUUGGGGCAGUCUCCAAGAAAGAUAGAAGGAACCUCAGCAUUCUCAAUUUCAGGUCUUCCUACUGACCUUGGCUUAGAUGGCUUCCCAAUGACUGGUAACAUGCAGGGCUGAUGUAGUAUUGAGCAACAGCUCUGCUUUCACAGCUUUAUCAAAGUGGUGUGACUAAGUGAACCGCCUUUUACCAGGGAUGAGCCCCAGUUGAAGAUGACAAGGUUCAGCUCCUCCAAAGCCAAAAUGAACAUGUGCCUUGCACUAAGAAAUCCCAGGAUUGUCACAACUUGUGCCAGCUGUUGAGGUUAUGACACCUGUGCCAGCAUCGCCAGCUCUGCCCACUGUCAUCUGUUCCAACUGUUCCAUCUGCACUGUUUGUACCAAUUCUCCCAUUUCUGCAUCUGUACCUUCUGCAGAAACGGGUCCAACAAUGCCAGCUGUGUCAUUGGUGCCAAAUAUGCCAGAUGUUCUAUUUGUCCACCCUGGGCCAAAUCAAUGUAGUUUUGUGCUCAUUAGUUUUAGCUGGUAGAUUCUAUUUCACAAUUUUUUGAGAUGCACUUAGAUCGAAUCAAUUCUAAAUCACCACUACAACGGCUUUACAUCUAUCUUGCCAUAAACAGAACUUUGUUU